rnacentral:rRNA from 1 species
UGGGGAAUAUUGGACAAUGGGCGCAAGCCUGAUCCAGCAAUGCCGCGUGAGUGAUGAAGGCCUUCGGGUUGUAAAGCUCUUUCGCACGCGACGAUGAUGACGGUAGCGUGAGAAGAAGCCCCGGCUAACUUCGUGCCAGCAGCCGCGGUAAUACGAAGGGGGCUAGCGUUGUUCGGAAUUACUGGGCGUAAAGGGCGCGUAGGCGGUGUGUCAAGUCAGGCGUGAAAGCCCCGGGCUCAACCUGGGAACCGCGCUUGAGACUGGCACGCUAGAGUUCGGGAGAGGAUGGUGGAAUUCCCAGUGUAGAGGUGAAAUUCGUAGAUAUUGGGAAGAACACCGAUGGCGAAGGCAGCCAUCUGGACCGACACUGACGCUGAGGCGCGAAAGCGUGGGGAGCAAACAGGAUUAGAUACCCUGGUAGUCCACGCCGUAAACGAUGAGUGCUAGACGUCGGGGCCCUCAGGGCUUCGGUGUCGCAGCUAACG